UACGUAGGGUGCAAGCGUUUGUCCGGAAUUAUUGGGCGUAAAUGAGCUCGUAGGCGGAUUUGUCGGCGUUCUGCUGUGAAAACCCGAGGCUCAACCUCGGGCCUGCAGUGGGUACGGGCAGACUAGAGUGCGGGUAAGGGGAGAUUGGAAUUCCUGGUGUAAGCGGUGGAAUGCGCAGAUAAUCAGGAGGAACCACCGAUGGCGAAGGCAGGUCACUGGGCCGCAACUGGACGCUGAGGAGACGAAAGCAUGGGGAGCGAACAGG
rnacentral:rRNA from 1 species